rnacentral:rRNA from 1 species
UACGUAGGGUGCAAGCGUUAUCCGGAAUUAUUGGGCGUAAAGGGCUCGUAGGCGGUUUGUCGCGUCGGGAGUGAAAACACACAGCUUAACUGUGUGCUGGCUUCCGAUACGGGCAGACUAGAGGUAUGCAGGGGAGAACGGAAUUCCUGGUGUAGCGGUGAAAUGCGCAGAUAUCAGGAGGAACACCGGUGGCGAAGGCGGUUCUCUGGGCAUUACCUGACGCUGAGGAGCGAAAGUGUGGGGAGCGAACAGG